GCUGGCGGCGUGCCUAACACAUGCAAGUCGAACGAGAAGCCUGUAAUGAAUACUUCGGUAGGAUUAAUGGGUGGAAAGUGGCGAACGGGUGAGUAACACGUGGGUGACCUGCCCUGGAGAGGGGGAUAACCAUUCGAAAGGAUGGCUAAUACCGCAUAAUCCUAAUUACAUGGGAAUGUAGCUAGGGAAAGCUCCGGCGCUCUGGGAGGGGCCUGCGUCCGAUUAGCUAGUUGGUGGGGUAAAAGCCUACCAAGGCGGCAAUCGGUAGCUGGUCUGAGAGGACGAUCAGCCACACGGGAACUGAGACACGGUCCCGACUCCUACGGGGGGCAGCAGUGAGGAAUAUUGCACAAUGGGGGCAACCCUGAUGCAGCAACGCCGCGUGGAGGAUGAAGGCCCUUGGGUCGUAAACUCCUUUUCUGGGGGAAGAGAAAGGACGGUACCCCAGGAAUAAGUCACGGCUAACUACGUGCCAGCAGCCGCGGUAAUACGUAGGUGGCAAGCGUUAUCCGGAAUUACUGGGCGUAAAGCGCACGCAGGCGGCUGAACCAAGUCUGACGUGAAAGCUCCUGGCUUAACUGGGA
rnacentral:rRNA from 1 species